rnacentral:miRNA from 1 species
UAGACAUUGGCCCUGGAUCCUUGGG